GACGAACGCUGGCGGCGUGCUUAACACAUGCAAGUCGAACGGAAAGGCCCUGCUUUUGUGGGGUGCUCGAGUGGCGAACGGGUGAGUAACACGUGAGUAACCUGCCCUUGACUUUGGGAUAACUUCAGGAAACUGGGGCUAAUACCGGAUAGGAGCUCCUGCUGCAUGGUGGGGGUUGGAAAGUUUCGGCGGUUGGGGAUGGACUCGCGGCUUAUCAGCUUGUUGGUGGGGUAGUGGCUUACCAAGGCUUUGACGGGUAGCCGGCCUGAGAGGGUGACCGGCCACAUUGGGACUGAGAUACGGCCCAGACUCCUACGGGAGGCAGCAGUGGGGAAUAUUGCACAAUGGGCGGAAGCCUGAGGCAGCAACGCCGCGUGCGGGAUGACGGCCUUCGGGUUGUAACCCGCUUUCGCCUGUGACGAAGCGUGAGUGACGGUAAUGGGAAAAGAAGCACCGGCUAAUUACGU
rnacentral:rRNA from 1 species